CCCUUAGAUGUUCUGGGCCGCACACGCGCUACACUGAAGGAGGCAGCGUGUACUCCUGGAUCGAAAGAUUUGGGUAACCCGCGAAUCUCCUUCGUGCUAGGGAUUGAGGUUUGCAAUUAUCCUUCAUGAACGAGGAAUUCCCAGUAAGCGCAAGUCAUAAGCUUGCGCUGACUACGUCCCUGCCCUUUGUACACACCGCCCGUCGCUACUACCGAUUGAAUGAUUUAGUGAGGACUUCGGACUGGGACCGAUGCGGCUUUCGGGCUGCGUCGGUAUUCUGGAAAGAUGUCCAAACUGUAUCAUUUAGAGGAAGUAAAAGUCGUANCA
rnacentral:rRNA from 1 species